AGUGAACGCUGGCGGCAGGCCUAACACAUGCAAGUCGAACGGCAGCACAGUAAGAGCUUGCUCUUACGGGUGGCGAGUGGCGGACGGGUGAGGAAUACAUCGGAAUCUACUUUUUCGUGGGGGAUAACGUAGGGAAACUUACGCUAAUACCGCAUACGACCUACGGGUGAAAGCAGGGGAUCUUCGGACCUUGCGCGAAUGAAUGAGCCGAUGUCGGAUUAGCUAGUUGGCGGGGUAAAGGCCCACCAAGGCGACGAUCCGUAGCUGGUCUGAGAGGAUGAUCAGCCACACGGGAACUGAGACACGGUCCUGACUCCUACGGGAGGCAGCAGUGGGGAAUAUUGGACAAUGGGCGCGAGCCUGAUCCAGCCAUACCGCGUGGGUGAAGAAGGCCUUCGGGUUGUAAAGCCCUUUUGUUGGGAAAGAAAAGCAGCAGGUUGAUACCCCGCUGUUCUGACGGUACCCAAAGAAUAAGCACCGGCUAACUUCGUG
rnacentral:rRNA from 1 species